rnacentral:rRNA from 1 species
GAUGAACGCUGGCGGCGUGCCUAAUACAUGCAAGUCGAGCGAACGGACGAGAAGCUUGCUUCUCUGAUGUUAGCGGCGGACGGGUGAGUAACGCGUGGAUAACCUACCUAUAAGACUGGGAUAACUUCGGGAAACCGGAGCUAAUACCGGAUAAUAUUUUGAACCGCAUGGUUCAAAAGUGAAAGACGGUCUUGCUGUCACUUAUAGAUGGAUCCGCGCUGCAUUAGCUAGUUGGUAAGGUAACGGCUUACCAAGGCAACGAUGCAUAGCCGACCUGAGAGGGUGAUCAGCCACACUGGAACUGAGACACGGUCCAGACUCCUACGGGAGGCAGCAGUAGGGAAUCUUCCGCAAUGGGCGAAAGCCUGACGGAGCAACGCCGCGUGAGUGAUGAAGGUCUUCGGAUCGUAAAACUCUGUUAUUAGGGAAGAACAUAUGUGUAAGUAACUGUGCACAUCUUGACGGUACCUAAUCAGAAAGCCACGGCUAACUACGUG